AGUGAACGCUGGCGGUAGGCCUAACACAUGCAAGUCGAACGGCAGCACAGUAAGCUUUUGCUCUUACGGUUGGCGACUGGCGGACGGGUGAGGCAUACAUCAGCUACCACUUUUUCUUGGGGGACAACGGGGGGACACUUAUGCUACUACCUCAUACUAUCUACGGGAGAAUUCAGAAGAUCUUCAGACCUUUCCUGUUUGUAUUAGCUGGUGCGGCAUUAGCUAGUUGGCUAGGUAAAGUCCCACCAAGGCAACGAUCCGUAGCUGGUCUGAGAGGAUGAUCAGCCACACUGGAACUGAGACACGGUCCAGACUCCUACGGGAGGCAGCAGUGGGGAAUAUUGGGCAAUGGGCGCAAGCCUGAUGCAGCCAUGCCGCGUGGGUGAAGAAGGCCUUCGGGUUGUAAAGCCCUUUUGUUGGGAAAGAAAAGCAGCAGGUUAAUACCCCGCUGUUCUGACGGUACCCAAAGAAUAAGCACCGGCUAACUUCGUG
rnacentral:rRNA from 1 species